AACGAACGCUGGCGGCAGGCUUAACACAUGCAAGUCGAGCGCGUAGCAAUACGAGCGGCAGACGGGUGAGUAACACGUGGGGAUCUGCCCGAUGGUACGGAAUAACUCAGGGAAACUUGUGCUAAUACCGUAUGUGCCCGCAAGGGGAAAGAUUUAUCGCCAUCGGAUGAACCCGCGUCAGGUUAGCUAGUUGGUGUGGUAAAGGCGCACCAAGGUGACGAUCUGUAGCUGGUCUGAGAGGAUGAUCAGCCACACUGGGACUGAGACACGGCCCAGACUCCUACGGGAGGCAGCAGCGGGGAAUAUUGGACAAUGGGCGCAAGCCUGAUCCAGCCAUGCCGCGUGAGUGAUGAAGGCCUUAGGGUUGUAAAGCUCUUUCGCCGACGAAGAUAAUGACGGUAGUCGGAGAAGAAGCCCCGGCUAACUUCGUGCCAGCCGCCGCUGUAACAC
rnacentral:rRNA from 1 species